rnacentral:ncRNA from 2 species
UCCCGCAGCAGCGACUGGCGCAUUCAAGAGGUGGAGCACCACCGGGGAGCGACGACGAGGCCGGCACCGCGCGCCUGGGUGCGGGCC